GUCUGUCUGUAACACAACAAGAUGGUGCUUAGAACGGGCUAGAAUGGUGUUUUGUACGCAACAAAACUCUGUUUUUUACACCCGUCUAGGGACAAUGAUAGUACAGACAACACAGCCAUUUUCUGACUGUGAAUAUACAAGUCAGUGAAUGGACAGAGAAGUCAGUGAAUGCAACAUGACUGAAGCUAACACCCUCAUCAAUUUUGAUUGGUCCUUUGAGUUAGCCCCCGCCUCAACACGCCACGGGUCAAAGGUUUUGUAGUUGAAAUUUUCAGAUUCGAAAACAAAAAAAAACAAAAAAGUUGAAAGGGGAGAAAAGAUUUGAAACUGAAAAAGAAGUUUUGAAAUUGAAAUGUUCUUUGUUGUAAUGUCAAGUUUUUUUUUUUUUUUUGUCAGAUUCCUUUCAUAUAUGUGUUUUGUAUUUAUUAUUUUUUUUAUUCAGAUUCACUGACGACUUCAAACUCUGGGUCUCCUGAGAGAGAUAAAGGCCCAUCCUGCCAUUUUCACAGUCUUCAUGAAAGGCAAGAAACAUCUGACAGCCACUGAUAUAAUCGAGCUGUUUGAGCCGACGUAAUCCACCGCUGGAAGCAACAAGUGGAGGGACAAAAGAAGAACUGAAGGAUGGACAAUACAACAUCACCCUCCAGGAAAUCUCAGUGUUUGCUCAGGGGCAGACAAAAUUCCAGUGUUAGGAUUUAAUCCAAAGCCAACGCUGGAAUUUCUCUUCGAUCCCACAAAAAGGUUCCCGGAGGCCAACACUUGUUUGAUACAAAUCCGACUUCCUGUCCUUGUGUCGUACACAUCCUUUGCUGAAAAAAUGUGCGAAGGAAUCAUUCAGUCACCAACCUUUGGUUUGGCUUAAUCUUGUUUUCUUCAUUAUACUCUAGUGUUUUUUUAUGGAAGCCGAAAACGGCUUGCCCUACUUUUUUUUUUUUUAAACGUUUUCUCGUGUUAACAAGAUAAUAUCUUGUUGUCGCGAGAAAACAAACUUCGUUUCUUGUGAUAACGAAAUAACCAAUAGUGAAGAAUGAAGCAUGCCCCUCUCCCUUUACUGCACAGAGACACAAAUACUUCAUCUGUUUUAAGUCUCUUUAUUUUGUGGUAAACAACUAUAAACAGGAGAACAAUCCACAAAAGUGCCUCCUCAAACACCUUCAUUCCGUCUCAUGCACCAACCGUCUUCCCUUUAUUUCCCUAAAACCUCAGAACAAAUGGGCUGGUUGACAGAACCCAGAGCCAGCAAGAAUCUGAGCAUGGUGCGUUCACUGAACUCCGGACAUUUGCACACUUUGUUUUUAUUCUAUUCAUUCUAUUAAUCUGUAAAUAAUGUUUAUCUCUUUAUCUGCACAUCCUCUGUAAAUGUUUAAUGCUGCAACAGCCAAAUGACCCAGCUUGGGAUGAAUAAAAGAUUUCUGUUCCACUCUUCCAUUAGCAGACCCAAACAGCCACUCUGCUAAACUCAGCCAGCUACUACGCUUUUGUCAUUUUUAUACAAUCCGCAGACAAAUGUUGACACUAUUUAAUCAAUCCAUUAUAUAUUGAUCAGUUCUGGUGUUUGACAUUUUCUCUAAUAAACUGCUUUUUGUUGCUGGUGAUGUCCGGGGCUCAGUGAACGCACCAUGCAGAAAUGCCCUAGGUUCUGUCAAUCAACCUGUUUGUUCUGAGAUUUGGGGGAAAUGAAGGGAGUGGGCUGCUGCAUGAGACUGAAUUAAGACAUUUAAAGAGCAAAGAUCCACUAAUAAAUAAAAACAGACUAAAAACUUACUUUUGUGGAGUGUUUAACUUUUUUUGUUAUUAACCACAAACUAAAGAGACUUAAAACAGGUAAAGUCUCUGCAACUCCGUGCGGGAAAGGAAGAGUGGGACGCUUCGUUCUUGAUUAUCUGGUUAUAAUGAGAAAACGAAGUAGGUUUUCUCAAGAAAACGAUCCAAAAAAGGAAAAAAAAUAAAUCAGGGCAGACCGUUUUCGGCUUCCGUAAUAUUUUGUAAUUGUCCAUUUGUACUUAAAGGACUUGGACACAUUUUGUUCAUAUUGUCUGUUCAAAUGGGCCAUUUUCGGCAUCUGUAGCUUUUUAGAAUUGUUUAUUUGUAUUUAUAGGACUUGGAACAUGUAAUUUUCAAUAAUGUGGGUUGAGCCGAUUAAAGAUCCAUGUCUCCCCUACAUUUGAGAGUUCUGCAUCUUUCUCCUACCUUUGACCAUUGUUACUUUGUAAUAUAGAUUAAAAGUGGUGCUAUGUGUGUUUUUACACAGAGGUAAUGUACCAAAACCCCUUUUUCCUCCUUUAGUAAAGAACCUCUUGUGCUUGAUUACAAAAUAAAGUAUAUAAGGAAAAUAGUAUCCAGGCUUGAUAAUACAACUUACUUUAUAGCAAUCCACAAAAAAAGAGUUACAUUUAGAGGCAAGAGUGCCAGCCGCCGUAAAACCAGAAGAAGAUGAGCGAGUUUGAAGAGAGAUGUCGCAGAAAACGAAAGUAAGUAAAAGAGUAUGUUAUCAUAAUUGUCUAUAAAAUGUUUUUGGAAUAGUCUAUUAUAAUAGUUUUUUUAUUGAACAAGUACACACUACAGAGCAAAACAUGGCUUGAAAUUAUAGAACAUUAUAGAUAAUAACGUUUAAAUUAUUACAAACAGAGGGGGUGAAUGGAGCAUUAAACAACAAAACAGAAUCAAUCAAAUAAAAAAUAAUAUCUUAAAAAAA